CCCCAUCCCGAACCCCCACCUCAAUUACUCUUGAGGGAGCAUAAAAUCCUCAUACUGACUAAUCGUGGGUACUUCCAAAUUAUUUGUCGGCUUCCACCCAGAUCUUGCAUUGAAAAUCUCAAAGAGAGAGUUUAGAUUUUCUUUCCUUCUCACUGCCUGACAUGACCAAAAUGUCAUGCAUCGCUACUGGCCUAUUGCUACAUCCAGGAGAGUCACUUGAGGAAUAGACAAAACUGGAGGAAAAAACACAUGGGUAAUUUAUCAUUACAUUGUCAUCAAAAGCAUGGAAUUCACCAAUGAUGCCUAGGAAGAAAUCGGGAUCAUUUAUCGAAUAGUGUAAAGAGAAUAUAGGAGAUGUCUCAGCUGAAGAGAAAGAAGCUACAAAAAGUAAUUAUGAAAAAGAUGGAGCAAUAAAAUGCAUCAGGAGAUUCAGGAGCAUAAACAGAGUUAAGGAAAAAAAUGACCCAUAUUUUCUUAGUUACUACUUAUGGAGAGCAGGGUCAAUUCCUAAAAGGUCAAUUAAUUCUGAUUCUGAUGUAUUUGAUGAUAAUGUUUAUUACUAAUGGUAAUUUGUAUUUUCAACUAUCAUCAUGUAAUGCUGAUAAUUUGCAUAUAUAAUUUAUAUUUCUAUAGUUAUUGCUUCUCUCCUCUUAGACUAGUGACCAUUAUUUUGAGCGACAAAAACAGUGCCUUGAGAUUAUCUGUCUGUUCAUUAUAUGUGUUAAGUUAUUGAAUUUUUGUCUUGCAUCAAUUUUUAUUUCAUUAAUUGAUUGUCAUUUAGAUGAUUCGGAUGUUUACACAUAAUUAUCAAGUCAAAUCUCAGUAUUUAUUUAGCAUUUCUCUCUUCAGUUAUGGUUGGAAAAUCUGCCCCUAACUUAAUAUUACAAAAACAUAUGCAGGUGUAUCUCCAGAUCGCUUUUACAUUUAAUUAUUCAUUCCAUUUUGACUAUUAUAGCUUAGCCUAGAGAAUUAAGUAAACAUGUAUUACUUCACUCCUACACACCGUUUAAACGCAGCUAAUAGACAGUGAAUAAACCGGCCCAUCCCCGGCGGGAUCAGGAGUUGCUUGCCCCGUAUGCUGUCCCCAGGCUGCAGCCGCCUGAGGGGACUCGCCCGGGGCCACGCCCUCAGAGCUCACACCCGCCGUGCGCUCUCGCCCCGGGGCCGCCCCGCCGACCCUCCCGCGCGGCUCUGCGCGCACAGGCCGGACGCUCGGAGCCGGCGCCGGGCCGCCCUGCUCUGCCUCCCCGACGCAGCGGCGCCUCUGGACCGAGCACGCGCACCAGCGGCCUCCGCGCAGGCUCCGUGCCCGCGCACGCGCCCUCGCGUCGCGCUCCUGGCGGAGAGACCUGCGCUCGGGCCGGGCUCCGGGCGGUUCUUGCGGUGCCGUUCCACCGGGACUUCCGCGCUUCGGCGGCCUUUCUGACGAGCCGCCGGCGCCCAGAGAUAUUCAGGUUGGAGCGACACUUCCCAGAGAGCAGGGGUCACUCCAGAUCUUCGGCUUCCAUUCCGUUUUCGCGCGGUUCUCCCUCUUUGCAGGCUGCUUGGCUGCAAGAGGGAAGUAGGAUAUUGAGCCCUAAAGGGAGAUUUCCAGCCAGGGGGCACCGAGGUUAGUUUGGGAAAGCCUAGAAAGUUCUCUACUUGGGAGCUCUGAGGGGCAGCUACUGUCUCAGAGCCUCGGGGUUCCCAGAGCUCGGACCCCAGAAACGUGCUGUAAACCUGUUCCCGUAGUCCAGGCUCUGUCCUCUUUUCCAUCUGUUUAUGUGUAUGAGCAGGGCGGGUGUGGACCUGGAGAGUGUCGUGUAAGGAAGUCAUUCUGUGCCCCAAGAACAGCCUGGUGCCUCCUGACUUCCUCCUCAGUCCUGCCAUCCCCAAAAGAAGAACCUUGAUGAGAGGAAAGAAUUGUUUUACACA